AACAGACUAAACCUAUGAAUUUACUACCAAACAGGGCAACAGCUCCGCCACGAACAGACACCUAUGAUUUUACUCAGUGACUCAGAACACUUGUAGAAUUCCUCGCCUCUCUCUCUUUUUUAUUAUUAAGGUGGAUAUUCAGGCCGGCUUGCGCGCAUCUCUUUCUUUCAAUAACUACUCUAUUGGUGAACACUAUUUUAAUGGCUCAGUCUCUUUCUCGAUGAAGACCUAUCCGGAAUCUACUCUUCUCCACCACAACUCACCUGAAUUUGAUUUUUAUCAGAUACCCAGAAGUUCUUUUCAGGUAUAUUUGCUUUCAAUAUAAUAACUUAUGUUUCUUUUUACCCCCCUCCCCCCCCCCCUUUUUUUUUUCUUUCUUGUUUGUUGUGGCAUGUUCACCGGGUUCUAGAGACAACCGGCUGCUCUGUUUUCCUCUCCGAUGUAGAACUGGUGCUGACUAGGGGUUUGACUGCUUCAAGCUUGAGUUUUUUAAGAAUUUAUUUUUUUGGUUGAUCAAUUUUUGCAUUUUUUGAUGGGUCCGCUCGAGGCAUGCCUUAUUUGGUUCAUUCCACCAAACCAAUCACACUAUCUUGUUUUACCUCGCCAAACCGUUAUAAACCGCGGGGUUUAUUGCAUCAACCAAGUAGGCAUUGUUUUGGUUCACCUGGAAAUGAUAGCACCAGACUGAAUUCUAUUUAUGACCAUAUUGAUGGUAUGAUUUCCAUGGGACUUGUCAGUGCCCACCUGUUUAGCCUAGUGGAAAAUUGCAAGCCCGUGAUGAGCUGUUGAGGCUCAAAUCUAUAGUCUGAAUCUCAUUUAUGCAGCCUGGAUUAUUGCUGUGCGGCUAAGAGGCCUGUUCACUCACUUGGAAUUUAACGCUUUCAGGGUUUAUUGAAGAAAAUUGGCUUCUCCACUGAUUAACAAUGAAGAGAAAGCAUUUACAUCAGUCCAAGCACCCAUAUAAUGCACACCCUUUUGAGGCCUUAUACGGCGGCUCUUGGAAAAGCGUGGAGCUCAUAGAAAUCAGGGAUGGGGCUAUGACUCUGCAUUUUGCUGAUAGUCAUCAUAGAAUUGAGGAGAAGGGUCCUUUCUCAAACAUUCGAGUGAAGUCGAGGAAGUCAACUUUGUCUGAUUGCACCUGCUUUCUGAGGCCUGGUAUUGAUGUUUGUGUGCUUUCAUUCUCUGAACGUGCAAAGAGUUCAGAGGAAGGAAAUUCAGAACCUGUGAGUGACCUCGUCAUGUCACUGCAUUACGGAAAGCUCUGUAACUUUCAAAGGAUUGUGGAUGUUGUGGGUUGAUGCUAGGAUAAAUUCUAUCAAGCGGAAACCUCAUGAAUCUCAGUGCUCAUGCCAAGUUUUUGUUAACCUCUAUGUCAACCAAGGUCCUCUUGGUUCGGAGAGAGCAACACUCAGUAAAGAAACUGAAGCAGUAGGAAUCGACCGAAUUUCCAUCCUUCAGAAGCUUGACAAUGAUCCAUGUGAAGCAGACAACAACAGACAUGAAACUCAGUUCUACCGUUGGGAAUUCUGUGAGGACUGUUCUUUAGUGCAAAGAAGUAAACUCUUUUUGAGAAGUUAAGGUUUGAUUGUAAAAGGGAGUCCAAAGUGAUGUUUGUUUUGAAUCUUGUAUAUCGUGUAGUCAAGAAGGACAAGGUUCUGAACUUUUGCCACAACAUAGCACCCAUAAAAUUAUUCCUUGAACUGUUUGAGAAUGUCUUUAGAUGGCAGCUGGGUAAAGAAGUUCUUGUUCUUACAGGGGACCUAGAGCUGUUUGAAUGAGGAAGAGUGAUGGAUAAGUUUGAGGAAUUGGGAGGGCCUUCGAGGGUUUUGCUUGCAUCAAUUACGGCUUGUGCCAAGGGCAUAAGUUUGACAGCAGCAUCACGGGUAAUUCUAUUGGACUCAGAGUGGAAUCCUUCCAAGACAAAGCAGGCUAUUGCAAGAGCCUUUCGGCCUGGUCAACCGAAGAUGGUUUAUGUGUAUCAGCUUCUGGCAACAGGCACAGUUGAAGAAGACAAGUACCAUAGGACGGCAUGGAAGGAGUGGGUCUCACGCAUGAUAUUUAGUGAAGAAUCUGUGGAGGACCCUUCUCGUUGGCAGGCAGAAAAGAUUGAGGAUGAUGUAUUAAGGGAGAUAGUGGAGGAGGACCGGGUGAAGUCAUUCCAUAUGAUAAUGAAGAAUGAGAAGGCUUCAACAAGUUGAUUGGAGACUACCUUCAUUAUAAUAUAGUGGCUUUUGAUAUUGCUUAUGCUUCUCUGGGGAUUUGGAGGUUCUAAUAAUUUCCGCAAUGAAGGUAACGGCAAAUAUAGUAACUUGCUGAGCCAUGUCUUAGCUAUUCAGAAAUCAGAAAAAGCUCCAUCCAUGUCCAGGAAGUUCUAGCAGUUUCUUUCUCGGCAAGAUAAAUGCCGUCCAAAUGCUGUUUAGUUUAAUGAUCUGUUUAUUUUUGUGUCAUUUCAUUUCCAAGUGCUGUUAGGUUGAAGAAUCUGCCAAUCUGGUGGUGCCUUGAAACCUGCCUGCAUUGACCGCAUUAUGGUAAUUACAUUUUAGCUUGAAAUACAAUGAUCUGAAUCAUCUCAUAAAUUGCUAGGAAUUAAGGUUCUCUGUUUUGAUGC